rnacentral:rRNA from 1 species
CGGAAUUACUGGGCGUAAAGAGUUCGUAGGCGGUCUGAUAAGUCAGAUGUGAAAGGCGUAGGCUUAACCUAUGUAAGCAUAUGAAACUGUCAGACUUGAGGUAAGGAGAGGAAAGUGGAAUUCCUAGUGUAGCGGUGAAAUGCGUAGAUAUUAGGAGGAAUACCAGUGGCGAAGGCGACUUUCUGGACUUAAACUGACGCUGAGGAACGAAAGCGUGGGGAGCAAACAGGAUUAGAUACCCUGGUAGUCCACGCCGUAAACGAUGAGUGCUAGGUGUCGGGUAGAAAUAUUCGGUGCCGCAGCUAACGCAAUAAGCACUCCGCCUGGGGAGUACGUACGCAAGUAUGAAACUCAAAGGAAUUGACGGGGACCCGCACAAGCAGCGGAGCAUGUGGUUUAAUUCGAAGCAACGCGAAGAACCUUACCAGGGCUUGACAUGCCUCUGACGUUACUAGAGAUAGUAAUUUAUCCUUCGGGAUACAGGGGACACAGGUGGUGCAUGGUUGUCGUCAGCUCGUGUCGUGAGAUGUUGGGUUAAGUCCCGCAACGAGCGCAACCCUUGUAUUUAGUUGCCAGCAUUAAGUUGGGCACUCUAGAUAGACUGCCGUGGACAACACGGAGGAAGGUGGGGAUGACGUCAAAUCAUCAUGCCCUUUAUGUCCUGGGCUACACACGUGCUACAAUGGUCGGUACAACGAGCAGCAAGCUAGUGAUAGCAAGCGAAUCUCUAAAAGCCGAUCCCAGUUCGGAUUGUAGGCUGCAACUCGCCUACAUGAAGUCGGAGUUGCUAGUAAUCGCGAA